CACUACUAAGAGGAGAACGGUGAAAGAGCGGCAUAAAAAGAUCUUUACCACGCACAAAAUUGAGGCUAAUGAAUACUUGGGAUCUCCACCAUAUUAGAGAAAGGCUGCAUGGGCUAUCUACAACGUUCGUAACUGAGGAGACAGUCUGCAUGGGCUGUCUACAACACACAUAACUGAGAGGCUGCAUGGGCAGUCUACAACACACAAACUGAGGAGAGAGGCUGCAUGGGCUGUCUACAACACACAAACUGAGGAGAGAGGCUGCAUGGGCUGUCUACAACGCACAUAAACUGAGGAGAGAGGCUGCAUGGGCUGUCUACAACACACGUAACUGAGGAGAGAGGCUGCAUGGGCUGUCUACAACACACGUAACUGAGGAGAGAGGCUGCAUGGGCUGUCUACAACACACAAACUGAGGAGAGAGGCUGCAUGGACUGUCUACAACACACGUAACUGAGGAGAGAGGCCGCAUGGGCUGUCUACAACACACGUAACUGAGAAGAGAGGCUGCAUGGACUGUCUACAACACACAAACUGAGGAGAGAGGCUGCAUGGGCUGUCUACAACGCACGUAACUGAGGAGAGAGGCUGCAUGGACUGUCUACAACACACAAACUGAGGAGAGAGGCUGCAUGGGCUGUCUACAACGCACGUAACUGAGAAGAGAGGCUGCAAGGGCUGUGUACAACACACGUAACUGAGGAGAGAGGCUGCAUGGGCUGUCUACAACACAAACUGAGGAGAGAGGCUGCAUGGGCUGUCUACAACGCACAUAACUGAGAAGAGAGGCUGCAUGGGCUGUCUACAAUGCACGUAACUGAGGAGACAGGUUGCAUGGGCUGUCUACAACGCACGUAACGGAGGAGAGAGGCUGCAUGGGCUGUCUACAAAGCAUGUAACUGAAGAGACAGGCUGCAGGGGCGGUCUACAACGUACGUAACUGAAGAGACAGGCUGCAUGGGCUGUCUGCAACACACAAACUGAGGAGAGGCGCUACAUGGGCUGUCUACAACGAACAUAACUGUAACUGAGGAGACGGACUACAUGGGCUGUCUACAAUGCACAUAACUGAGGAGAAAGGCUGCAGGGGUCCCUAACCAUUUAUUCCACAGAGAGAAGUAUAAAGGCUUCCAUUGUACACACAGGAGAAAUUAUGCAUUGGUCUAAUAUGCCCUCAUUAGAUGGACGAAUGAGGAGUCUCUGCUGUGUACAAUUUAGGCAGAGUAAACAUAGGUGUCUACUAUGAAAAACAGAAAACACAUGAGUUUCUACUAUGCACAACAAGAAGAAGACAAGACUCCCUACCCUGCAUACCACAGACAGACAAUUCAUAAGUCUACUAUGCACGCCACAGACAAAAUGAAUGGGUCUCCACUAUUCACGCACCACAGACAGCCAAUGCAUAGGUCUCCACUAUUCCCGCACCACAGACAGACAAUGCAUGGGUCUCCACUAUCCACAGACAGACAACACACAUAACUGAGACAGGAUGCAUGGGCUGUCUACAAUGCACAUAACUGAGGAGAGAGGCUGCAUGGGCUGUCUACAACGCACAUAACUGAGGAGAAAGGCUGCAUGGGCUGUCUACAACGCACAUAACUGAGGAGAAAGGCUGCAUGGGCUGUCUACAACGCACAUAACUGAGGAGAAAGGCUGCAUGGGCUGUCUACAACGCAUAUAACUGAGGGGAAAGGCUGCCUUGAUGGUCUACACGUACAUAACUGAGGAGAAAGGCUGCCUUGAUGGUCUGUCUACAACGCACAUAACUGAGGAGAAAGGCUGCAUGGGCUGUCUACAACGCACAUAACUGAGGAGAAAGGCUGCAUGGGCUGAGGAGAAAGGCUGCAUGGGCUGUCUACAACGCACAUAACUGAGGAGAAAGGCUGCCUUGAUGGUCUACAACGUACAUAACUGAGGAGAAAGGCUGCAUGGGGCCGUCUACAACGCUCAUAGCUAAGGAGAGAGGCUGCAUGGACUGUCUACAACGCACAUAACUGAGGAGAAAGGCUGCAGGGGUCUCUAACCAUUUACUCCACUAGACGUGGCCUUAACCCUGCAAAGCAAACAAUGCAGUUUAAAAAACUAAACCAAAUUUAAAAAAAAAAAAUUGCUAUAUUUUUACGUAGCAGGGUUUAAGGACUGAGCUAAAUGUACACAUUUUGACCAAAAUAAAACGUAAACAAAACUUGGAAUUUGACUAUAUGUCUGUUCAACCGUAAUUUACCUCUUUCAUUUUAAGUGCACCCACACUUAUUAUAUAUAAUUUUAUUCACGAUAAAUAGGGCUUUCAUUUAACAUCAAAUAUUUAGCAAUGAAACAUAAUUUAACAUGAAUAAAAUAUAAAAAAUGUGAAAAAUUAAGAAA
rnacentral:lncRNA from 1 species